rnacentral:rRNA from 1 species
UGCAGCGACGCCGCGUGAGGGACGACGGCCUUCGGGUUGUAAACCUCUUUCAGCAGGGACGAAGCGCAAGUGACGGUACCUGCAGAAGAAGCACCGGCUAACUACGUGCCAGCAGCCGCGGUAAUACGUAGGGUGCAAGCGUUGUCCGGAAUUACUGGGCGUAAAGAGUUCGUAGGCGGUUUGUCACGUCGUUUGUGAAAACUCACAGCUCAACUGUGAGCCUGCAGGCGAUACGGGCAGACUUGAGUACUGCAGGGGAGACUGGAAUUCCUGGUGUAGCGGUGAAAUGCGCAGAUAUCAGGAGGAACACCGGUGGCGAAGGCGGGUCUCUGGGCAGUAACUGACGCUGAGGAACGAAAGCGUGGGUAGCGAACAGGAUUAGAUACCCUG